GAUGAACGCUGACAGAAUGCUUAACACAUGCAAGUCUUUGGCGAAGCUGUGCUUGCACAGCCUAGCCAAGGCGGACGGGUGAGUAACGCGUAAGGAACUUGCCCUGCAGUCAGGGAUAACAGACGGAAACGACUGAUAAGACCUGGUAAAGUCAGGCGGACUCAUGUCCAGCCUGAUGAAAAGAGAUGCUGCAGGAGAGCCUUGCGUCCUAUUAGCUUGUUGGUGGGGUAACGGCCCACCAAGGCGAUGAUAGGUAGCCGGCCUGAGAGGGUGGACGGCCACAAGGGGACUGAGAUACGGCCCUUACUCCUACGGGAGGCAGCAGUGGGGAAUAUUGGACAAUGGGGGCAAUCCUGAUCCAGCAAUUCUGUGUGCACGAUGAAGGUUUUCGGAUUGUAAAGUGCUUUCAGCAGGGAAGAAAAAAUGACGGUACCUGCAGAAGAAGCGACGGCUAAAUACGUG
rnacentral:rRNA from 1 species